rnacentral:rRNA from 1 species
AGCAUAUCAAUAAGCGGAGGAAAAGAAACUAACAAGGAUUCCCCUAGUAACUGCGAGUGAACCGGGAAAAGCUCAAAUUUUGAAUCUGGCGGUCGUCGAGGCCGUCCGAAUUGUAAUCUAGAGAAGCGUUUUCCGCGCUGGACCGUGUAUAAGUUUCCUGGAAUGGAACGUCGUAGAGGGUGAGAAUCCCGUCUUUGACACGGACUACCAGGGCUAUGUGAUGCGCUCUCGACGAGUCGAGUUGUUUGGGAAUGCAGCUCAAAUUGGGUGGUAAAUUCCAUCUAAAGCUAAAUACAGGCGAGAGACCGAUAGCGAACAAGUACCGUGAGGGAAAGAUGAAAAGAACUUUGGAAAGAGAGUUAAACAGUACGUGAAAUUGCUGAAAGGGAAACGCUUGAUGUCAGUCGCGUUGGCCGGGGAUCAACCUUGCUUAAUCGCUGGGGGUACUUCCUGGUGGACGGGUCAGCAUCAGUUUUGAUCGUCGGAAAAUGGCUUGAGGAAUGUGGCACUCUUUCGGGAGUGUGUUAUAGACUCUUGUCGAAUACGAUGGUUGGGAUUGAGGAACUCAGCACGACCUUAGGGUUCGGGACUUUGGUCCACGUUUGCGUGCUUAGGAUGCUGGCAUAAUGGCCUUAAGCGACCCGUCUUGAAACACGGACCAAGGAGUCUAACGUGCAU